rnacentral:tRNA from 1 species
GCCGCGUUCGUCUAGUGGCUAGGACGGAUGGUUCUCAGCCAUCAAACAGGGGUCCGAUUCCCCUACGCGGUA